UGUUGGCUUAGAAGCAGCCAUCAUUUAAAGAGUGCGUAAUAGCUCACUAGUCGAGUGACACUGCGCCGAAAAUGUACCGGGGCUAAACAUAUUACCGAAGCUGUGGAUUGUCCUUUGGACAAUGGUAGGAGAGCGUUCUAAGGGCGUUGAAGCAUGAUCGUAAGGACAUGUGGAGCGCUUAGAAGUGAGAAUGCCGGUGUGAGUAGCGAAAGACGGGUGAGAAUCCCGUCCACCGAUUGACUAAGGUUUCCAGAG
rnacentral:rRNA from 1 species